AGCCCAGAGCCUGAAUCAGUGUGUGUGUUAGUGGAAGCGUCUGGAAAGGCGCGCGAUACAGGGUGACAGCCCCGUACACAAAAAUGCACAUAUUGUGAGCUCGAUGAGUAGGGCGGGACACGUGGUAUCCUGUCUGAAUAUGGGGGGACCAUCCUCCAAGGCUAAAUACUCCUGACUGACCGAUAGUGAACCAGUACCGUGAGGGAAAGGCGAAAAGAACCCCGGCGAGGGGAGUGAAAAAGAACCUGAAACCGUGUACGUACAAGCAGUGGGAGCACGCUUAGGCGUGUGACUGCGUACCUUUUGUAUAAUGGGUCAGCGACUUAUAUUCUGUAGCAAGGUUAACCGAAUAGGGGAGCCGAAGGGAAACCGAGUCUUAACUGGGCGUUAAGUUGCAGGGUAUAGACCCGAAACCCGGUGAUCUAGCCAUGGGCAGGUUGAAGGUUGGGUAACACUAACUGGAGGACCGAACCGACUAAUGUUGAAAAAUUAGCGGAUGACUUGUGGCUGGGGGUGAAAGGCCAAUCAAACCGGGAGAUAGCUGGUUCUCCCCGAAAGCUAUUUAGGUAGCGCCUCGUGAAUUCAUCUCCGGGGGUAGAGCACUGUUUCGGCAAGGGGGUCAUCCCGACUUACCAACCCGAUGCAAACUGCGAAUACCGGAGAAUGUUAUCACGGGAGACACACGGCGGGUGCUAACGUCCGUCGUGAAGAGGGAAACAACCCAGACCGCCAGCUAAGGUCCCAAAGUCAUGGUUAAGUGGGAAACGAUGUGGGAAGGCCCAGACAGCCAGGAUGUUGGCUUAGAAGCAGCCAUCAUUUAAAGAAAGCGUAAUAGCUCACUGGUCGAGUCGGCCUGCGCGGAAGAUGUAACGGGGCUAAACCAUGCACCGAAGCUGCGGCAGCGACGCU
rnacentral:rRNA from 1 species